rnacentral:rRNA from 1 species
UAGCAUUCGCCUGGGGAGUACGGCCGCAAGGGUUGAAACUCAAAGGGAAUUGACGGGGGCCCCGCACAAGCAGCGGAGCAUGUGGUUUACAUUCGACGCAACGCGAAGAACCUUACCAGGUCUUGACAUCCAGUAAAGCCCAUAGAGAUAUGGAGUGUGCUUGCACAUACUGAGACAGGUGGUGCAUGGUUGUCGUCAGCUCGUGUCGUGAGAUGUUGGGUUAAGUCCCGCAACGAGCGCAACCCUUAUUUUCAGUUACUAACGCGUAAAGGCGAGGACUCUGAAGAGACUGCCGGGGACAACUCGGAGGAAGGUGGGGACGACGUCAAAUCAUCAUGCCCCUUAUGACCUGGGCUACACACGUGCUACAAUGGCCACCACAGAGAGGGGCGAACCCGCAAGGGGGAGCGGAUCUCAAAAAAGUGGUCCCAGUUCGGAUUGUGGGCUGCAACCCGCCCACAUGAAGUCGGAGUUGCUAGUAAUCGCGGAUCAGCAUGCCGCGGUGAAUACGUUCCCGGGCCUUGUACACACCGCCCGUCACACCAUGGGAGUUGGGAGUGCCCAAAGUCGGUGAGGUAACCGCAAGGAGCCAGCCGCCUAAGGCAAGACCAAUGACUGGGGUGAAGUCGUAACAA